CCAUUUCGAUCAGGAUUUCCAAGAACACUUGAAGAUCUUCAUCUUCUUAGGUUAAUGAAGUCAUGGUCGUAAUGGAAAGUGCAAGGGCGAAGCUUCAUAGGAGCCAGGGGAUA